rnacentral:tRNA from 1 species
GGGGCCGUAGUUCAGUUGGGAGAACGUUUGACUGGCAGUCAAAAGGUCACCGGUUCGAGCCCGGUCGGCUCCA